rnacentral:lncRNA from 1 species
GAAGACCUAUAUCUACCUACACCAUUGAGGAUGCAUAUCUCAAUCCAUGUUCUUGGUAAUACCUUCUAAAUGGCUCGAGAUUCUAACAUAUGAAGCAAUCUAAAGGAAUCAAAGUCCAUUGAACUAAAUUUAAAGAACCUGAAUACUUAUUAUAGCCUAAAUGCCUCUAUGAAUAACCAUGAGAAAUAUGGACCUUAUUAAAAAUAUUGCUAACAUAGUCAAGUCUACGGGGG